AUGCUGCUGUGUUCUCUUAGCAGAUGUCUGCUUUGCUCUGCCAAAAGGAGAAAAUGUUCAUCCAGAUGUAGUGGGUUAGUAUGCAAGGGAAAGGAAAAAGAGAGCAAUACAAAUAUUGAAUUGCUGUACAAGAACUUCAGCUCUUCAGAAAUGAGCAGUACUGGAGACCUUCCCCUGUCAAAGGUGACAGCACAGGGGCAGUUAUUUUUUGUAAUCUUGUUAAUUUGGACAUCUUGAUGCUCCUUGAAGAGGAUGUUAUACUCAGUCUGGAUUCUGCCUACUCUGAGACACUGAAACUCAGGUGGAUGCUUUUCAGCACUGUUGAAGUGCACAUGAAGGCUGUUGGAGAGCUGCGGAGCACGUUUUCCUGACUUCAUGGAGGUACAGCUCAUUCACAGGAGCCAGCUAUUGACAUCUCUUUUAACUACUGUGUAUGUUGAUAUUUUAUAGCCGUAGAGUUGUGCUGCAAGGUCUGGCAGUACUGCAGGAGCACUAUCCACCACAGAUACAGGUACCUUGAAUGCAGGAUAAAGCUUCAGCUCUAUAUUUUUAACAAUGAAACAAUCUUUCCUUGCUUUCCUUGCCUGAAAGCCACUCCAACAAGCCAAAUUACCCACACUGGUGGCUUCCUUGAAUGCAGUUCUUCCCACGUGAUAAAUGCAGAAAGCUGUGCUAAACCUGGUCUGGAGGCAUCCUGGAAUGUUUCAAACAGCUCAGUACUGAAGGGUUUUGUUAUGGUGUGUUACAGAAUGACAGUAACCGGACUGAUUUGCUAAAAUGGCUAGUUUGCCAUUUAUAGCACAGGACUGAACCUGAAGUCAUCUAACUAUUGACUGUAACCACAGCUUAGUGGGAUUUUUGGCGUGAUUCAUCUCUCCUAAGUUUAGCUGCCUAAAUAGUAGGCAUCUCAUCUGAACCAGUCAUCUAGCUUAGCCUCAAAAUUAAUCAUCAGAGAUAAGCAGCUCAAUGGGUCAGUCUGACCUGUGUUAGGGAGGGUUCUAGCAGCAACAGGCAGGUAAGUCAGCUCAGGAAAAAACUGUUUUUUGCUGGUUUUUUUGUUUUGUUUUAGUUUUAACUUUCACCCAAUUCACUGACUUCUGGCAACAAGGCAAGAGAAGGCCCAUCCUUUGCUGUGUUUUCAAGAAACAUCUUUUAAGCUUCAGCUAUCAGUAUCUUUCCUUGUGAUUGUAGAAAAAGUUGUUUGAAGCACCAAACUGAGUUUUCUUGCUGUUAUUUUUUUAUUUCUUAUUGUUUCUUCUGUGAAUUAGAAUAAUUUCCAUGGUUGCAUGAAAACUUGGAAAGAGAUGUUCUGUAUUCUUUAUUUUAACAGGACUUUCCAGUAAUCGAUAGCUGAACUCAAGCUACGUGUUUCAGUGCUUUCUCCUUUAAAACAUAGAUCAAACAGUGCUGUGAACCCAUACAUCUUCCCUGUCAAACAUUUAAUUUAUUGUGCUGUUCAUUUGUAACUUGAGACUGGAGAACUAUUGGUUGACAAAAGAGGAUGGAUGGCUUUUUUAUUGAGUCCUUACACAGCUGGCAGAAGAUAGCAAAUGGAGGAAGGAAAUGUGAAAUACUCGUUUCCAAAUUUCUAAUAAAUCGUGGGUGGAUCGCA
rnacentral:lncRNA from 1 species